AACUUUCAGUAUGUGAAAUACCAGACAUACCUUUGGUAGCCUUACAGUAUAUCCAAUCACAUGUCUGAAUCUGCUCUUCAUUUUCUGAGUCUGGCUGCUCUGGCUAAGACAGGAAGCAGCUACCAUGAGAAAGUCUCACAAAGGCUUUAGUAGUAAAGAAUAAUAUACCAAGUGUCUGCUAAGGGGAGCAGGCUGCCGAUGACCCAUCGUCACAUUUGUUUGUUUUGCUGUGGUUGACAGAUCAGGUCAGGUUUUUCUUCCUGUAUCUCCUCCCUCUCUCAUCACAAGGACACACCGUUUAACCUAGAUUAGUGUGAGUAUGUUAAAGCGACGGUCUGAAAGGAAAAUUAGGUCCCAGUGUUUGCCUACAGCAUCUUAGGCCAUUUGCUCCACCUACUCCCCCCACUUCAACCCACUCACACACACAGUAAGACACACCCACAUACCAACACAUUCCUUCACAAUACUAAUGUAAUUGGACAACUGGAAAUAGUAAUUAUAACCCAACCAGUGAAUCAAACCAGCCAUUAAUGGGAUGUUUUAAUUUGGGCGUUUUUGUUGUGGAUUUCCACUUUACAUACUUCUGUCGCUUUCUACAAUUUGAAGAAACUCCCACGCAAAACCUUUGUUGUGGAUUUAAACCAACAGCAAUGAUUUAAAAGAACAUCUGAGUAGCAUUAGCAGAAAAUGCCAUAUGGGUCGGUGGGUCAGAAUCCUGGCAAUGAUAAAGGUCGACUUAACCUUUCACAAACUGUGGUUCCUUCAGGAGUACACAAUUGAAUCUAGUUGACAUCUUUAUUUCAAUCACAGCGUCAAACUCUCACCUGAGAGACGAGGUAUAUGGUGAUAUGACUUUGUUCCCUGAUGUUUCCAGUCAGGUGGUAGUGAGUCAGAGCUUUACCCUAGCCUUCUGUUCUGUUUGCAGUUAUCAGCAUUCACGUUUGCAAAAACAAAUUCCUACAGUGGGAACUCGUACAUGUACUACUGUAUCACCACCUUAAGCCACCUUAAGAGAUGUUGUAAUUUGAUAACAGUUGGACCUGUAACUCUGGCUUUAUCUCCUGUUAACCUGUUCAGUCAGUGCUGCAGUAUCAGCAUCGUGUGUCAGAGCUCAAACGUGUAACACUAUCAGCUGAACGCUGUUGGUUCAGGACGCAUGAAAAGGCCACUACCCACCAGGAAUAAUGGCUGGUAAAUUGUAUUAUCUCAUUCAAACAGCUGGGGGACAUUAUUACAAAGGUCAGUGGUGAUACGCUUCAGCUAGUUACAUUCAUCACUCCACCCAGGAAUAAACGAGUGUGUUUGAUCAUUUACAAGCAGAUAAACAUGUUCUAAAUAAACAUGUUCUCAGACUAUCACAAAGGUAGGAAGGUGGAAAUGUAAAGUUGCCCUUUAACUAACAUCCUUACCCUCAUUUCCUCUGUAUAAUGUAAUGUGUCCAGGUCACCAAUGAUGAACAUUAGAACCAGUGUAUAAUACAAUCAAGCACAUCUGCUGUCAGAAUGAUAACGAUCAUUCUGACCUGAUCCUGUUGUUUUCUCCAGCACAUGUAGAAGGUGUGCAGCGGUGUUUUUGUCCAGGCAGAGUUUAGUCGCCUCCCUGUGACUUGUGUUCUUCUGAACCAGAUACAGCUGUGGCAACACUCAGAACACACACAGCUGAGGUCAACCUUUUCCGGUGCCGCUCCUCCUCCUCCUCCUCCUCCUCCUCCUCUUCAUCCCUGCUCUGCUUCUUCUGUCCUGCCUGGCUUUGACUGUGAGUCCUGGGGAGCAUGUAAACUGCAGGAAUGUUGAAUGUGGUGGUGGACAGUGACUGCAUGUGGCCUUGAUAAAACCAGCGCAGGGAGGAGAGGGUUUUGAGUAACGUCAGAAAAAUGUCAGGGUGUGCUCUGUGCAUCUCUUUCUCCCAUUUUUUCUUGUCUCGUUUUGACUUUGGUCUCUGCUGUUGCUCCAUCUGCAGAUCAGUUUAUCAUGAGAGCUUGGCCUCUUGCUUUAUCCUCUUCACAUGUGCCUGCUUGCUUUAAUGCUCUCUCCUUCUGUUACCCCAUAUAAAUGUCCACAUAAGACUUCUUGGGGUGAGAGACUGCCGUGGUUUUAGUAAAACUGAAAGUAAAUCUCAUCUGGUCCCAAAGGCUUGAACGCCAUCUGAUAUCUAUACCUGAAUCUCAUUUGAUUCCAAAAUUGUUUAAUUUUACUGUCUUUCACUAUGCUGUGCUGUUUCAUAAUAGGGCUCCUGUGAGAGUUGUACGAGAGUCAACAUUGUGUGUUAGUUACUUGUUGGUAAUCUUGGUCUGUACUGAACGUCUCCUGUUGAAUGCUUUCCCACGUUUGACUCACUUCUCUCAGACAAAACCACCUUUUGUAGCGUUAAAUAAUCCCAGAGCGGCACACAAUGGAGCGAACCCAACCGCUUCAUGGUGUCAUGUCACAUCAUGUGUUGUGUAAGAUGAAAUGUGAGGCGUUGGCUCCGUGUGAGUUCUAGGCUGCCUCACAUGUGUCCAGAGAACGACACGUUGUGGCCGCUGGGGCAAAAGACGGAAAACCCGGUUCUUGUCAUUGUCAUGGACAAAAACAACACAAUUAAUCACUUCUGCUCCGAAUCAAACUUCAAGUUGUGGUUUAAUUGGGAUACUCAGUGUAGUCAGAGGCAGGUCAGAGCGAGUGUUCUGUGGAAAUACUAGGGAUGCACUUUUCCAAAUGCUUUUCAGCUGAUUUCAGCUCUUUUAUGUUAGAGAAAGUGUUUCCUCCCCUCAGCUGCUGCUGCUGAUGGUGCAUUAAAACCUCCUGUGAUCCACAGCAGAGCAUCAGUUUGAGAAUGAGCGAGCUCCCCUGAGACGCCUUCAACACUCCAGCCAGUCUUUUAAUCUGGACAAGAGGUUAGUUGUCCUCCAUAUGGCAGCGCAUUACAGAACCACAUGCAGACCCCAUCACUUUGAAGGAAGUCUAGUUUGUUGCCAAGUUGUGAGGGAAUGCGUCUCCCACAUGCCCCGUUACAGUGUCUGCCGAUAACACGGGCUCGUCCAGCUCCGCGCCGCGAUGCUGCUGGGAGGCGUUUAAGGGCUGACCAGGAGCACAUGUUGUGUUUAAGUGAUCUAACAAGCAUGUUACUGAUUAACAUUCCAUACACUGGUUGCGACACACAAGAACACUGCAUUGUCAGCAGGUACCAGGCCUCAGUUGGGGCAUUGUCUUUCAAUAUUGACUAUUAUUCGUAUUUGCUGACUGUGGAGCAGUGGAAGCAGUUUAGAAGUGUUGUAUCUCUCCUCUUUGCUUUCGCAUGAAUCUAACGAAGGCCGGGCCCCUGCCUUCACGCAUGCUGUCUAUCCACAUGCUUCUGCAUUCCUGUCUGAGCUGGCCCAGGGAACCGCUCUUUCACACUGAAGGAGAUUUCCACCUCCUCCUUUGCUGAGACGCAGACUAUACGAAGAGCUGGCUGCUUUUAUGUCCCAGGAGAACUUUAUCCGGACAGAUCAUUAGUGGUGUGUUGGCCCAAACGACAUGUCCUUGGACUGUGGGGGAAGAGAAAUCCUCAGGUUUGUACCUGUUGAGUUGAGCUCCUUCCACACCUCUGAGCUGUGACUGUAAAGAGGAAGCUCAGUUAAGCUUGUUUGUGCUUAUUCACUCACCCGAGGCCUGUGAUUAUAGGUGAAGGAGCUCUUGGGCUGAGAUGCUCUUCACAUCAUAUAUGAUGUGUACAUAUCAGCUGUGGCUCCAGGGAUGAUUGUCCACUAUUUGCAGCCGUUUGAUCUUUGACCCCUGGCGCGUCAAAGCUGUUCUGUUUCACCAGUUCCUGAAUUACUAACUUGCAACAAACUGGCAAUAUAUUUUAUUAUACCUGGAUAGACCACCUGUUACUUAGUGCACGGUUAAAGCCCUGGAAGUAGAAGUGGAAGUCCUGCUCGUUAGCCUGACGAGGAAAGUGCUUGUGCUGCUGUUAAAGAAUGGAAAAAGACUGUUUUGAUCGCUUUUUCUAAUUAAGUAGCUUUGACUCUGUUUAUUGAGUUAAUAAUGUUUCUGCCUCCAAUGCAGUUAAAUUACAGCUAAAGCGCCUGUGUUUCACCGGCUCUGUGUGGUUGUCAUGGUAACGGCACAAAGCCUGCGGUUGGCAUGGAGAUGACAUCCCUGAGAGGAGAGGACCGCUAGCAGUACUUUGGCUGACCUUUUCCUCAUGUUAUGUCAUGGUGUUCCAACAACUAAGCAACUAAAACCUUUAAGACAAGCAAACAUUGUUGUGAUUGGAGUGAUUUGGUGCCACGCGUCAGCUGAGGUCGGAUAAUGGCAUUGCUCGGAUUCAUUCCUCGUGUCUGCAAGGACGACAUUCUUUCUGACCUGUGUGCUGUCUGCAGCACUUCACUCCACAAAUGUAACCGGGCCGAGUCACAGGGGGAAUGAUACAGCUGCUCCACAGCAUAAGGACUGGUGUGAAUGACUGUAAUGUCACAGUCAGAUACAGAACGGGACUCACAAAGCUUCAAGAAACGAUACAAAGCGAAAAAAAUGCUAUUCAAACAUUGAUGCUGCUCCUUUUAACAUGCUGGAGUUUGGGAAGUAUGUUUUAUCUUUAUCUAGUUCCAGCUAAUAAGUGAUAAUGUAAAUAUUUUAAUAUAUAGAGUCUUUUAAUAAAACUAUUAACAUGUCUGACAUGAAGGUGGAUUUAUUUGUUCAGCAUCUCCUUCACUGAAGGCUCAUUCUGAGCUCUGGACCUAUUGGAGAUGUUCAUCUUUCAUCUGUCAGUUACACUUGGACAGAAUCUGCUCAGCGGUGCCUUGUUUCCGCUCGUUUUUACGUUGUUGUCCUUUUGGUUUCUCCCUUUCUUUUUCUUUGCUUCAGCUUAAAUGUCACUAAAAACAGGAUCUGUUACUAUGCAGAAGCAUGUGGAUAAACUAGAUUCAGUCUCUCCGUCUGCUUCGUCACCCACUUUUUAUCUACCAGCUAAUCUGUAAAGCUGCGUUUCGUGUCUUUCUUGAAAGUGAUUGUCAACAUAGAACAAAUAUUCCACCAGUUCACUGUGGUGCUUGACACCGACAUCAGUCCCUUUUCUCUCUCUGUCUCUCUCUGUCUCUCUGUCUCUCUCUCUCUCUCUCUCUCUCUCUUCCAUCCAUCAAGCCUCAUUUGUCCUGUUUCUGUUUUCUGCACUGAGUUGAUGUGACUUUACUCAUCUACUUGGUCACUGUGUUCUUGUCCUCGUAUUAUUUCAGUCACAUUUCGCCAUCUUGGAUUUGAAAACCACAACCUGCCAAAUAUUUUUCCUACUCACUAUUCAGGAGAGUAUCUUAGCGGUCCUGAAGGAAAAUGAGGGUGUUGUGUGGUUUUCGCUGUAGCAGUGAAGUCAUUACAUUCUAGUGGCUUCGCUUUCACAUACUAACCCAGCACGGUUUCACUCUCACACCCACAUAAACCCAGUCACCUCCAGCACAUCGUGAAGCGUUAGGCAGCACCUUUUCCAACUGGAGACAGGAGCUUGUGCCAGGUCAUUUCAGUCCAGUGUUUGCGUUGGGGAUCUAAUCGUUAGUGGCAGAUGAAGGCUAAGGACCUCCUGAGAAGAGUAAACCUUGAGGAGAACAGUGCAGCCAUGUUGUCAUCCUGUGGGCUGCUCUGAUGAAUGAAGACGUGCCACGUCUGUAGCAACAGUAAAAUCUUCCUUCUUCUGCUGAUUAAUUGCACACUCAGCACAUGUUGAUGUACAUUAUCUUAGACUGAAGAGGCUUCUCCAGUUUGAACAGGCCUCCACUCCAGAGUUAAACAGGGACAACGAUGUAAUGAUGUGCAAAUGCAGAGGUUUAAUGUUUAUAGAAAACUGCAGGUUUUGCAUAAAAACACGCUGUAAACAUGUACAAGCAUCCCAGAGGAUCACCUCCGUUCCCACUUAUGCAUCAAGAGGAAAGAUGGUAAAUGGGAUUCAUAGAAGUGCUGCACUUCCCGACCCCGUCCUGCAGUGACCUCAGGUCCACAGGCCUGUGGGAAUGGGGAAUGAAGCAGAUGCCUGAGUUCACUGGCCCUGAUGCUUGUGGUCAGUUAAUCUGGACGAGGCUCAUUCUGUUGCUCUUUGUCUCAUAUCUACACAUGAAGUGUCGCUUUACAAACAUAAAUCGUUCCUGUCAUUAAGUGGUGUACAGAUCUUUACUGAGGUGUUUCAUUUAUUGAAGCACGCCGCCGUCGUGGUGCUAAACAGGCUUUGCUUCAUUUGUCUUCGCAGAUCCCUUUCCCACCCUUCAUGCUUCAUCCUCCCCCAUUCGCUGCCUCUUCCCCCUCGUUAGUCCGACACCGAGUUCUAAUUUCCACCCAUCACAGGCUCGUGAAGCUGUCGCCAUAAAACAUGCGGUAGCCGGUCUGGUUGGAAAAGAUAAACAAAUCUGGUGACUUUACAGAUCGCUGCUCGUGUAUCACCGAGCAUUCGGUGACUCAGAGGAGGCAAAGGCUUAUGGUGCGACGGGGAGUCGUCUUUUAUUUUGUAGCAUAAACAUAAUGGUGAGUGUGUUCGUGAGCAAAGCUGCCUUUGUGUCGAGUUUGAGCUUAGUAGAUGCAGGAAUGUUGUGUGGAACCCCCUACAGCUCACAUCCACGGACGUGAGCGCCUCGUCUUUAUGUCCCACAGACGUGCUCCAGUAUGUGGCCGUGCACGCUCUCCUCUCAUGUGGAAAACAGAAUGCUUGAAUGUAGGUCAGCGCCACAGACUCCACUACACGCCUCCUCGCUGGAACAGGCUGCAAGUGCUGUUCAUGCUUUCCCACACUUCUGCCAGGCAUUCCAUAGGAAAUCCAGAGCGGCGUGAAGUCACAGUGAAGCGAUGAGGCGCGCACGCGGUGCCCGCGGAUGGACCGGACCCCGCUAGCGGCACGCGCUGCUGGUUCUGGUUCUGGUUCUGCUGGUUCUGCUGGUUCUGAGGCGGCGUGAAGCUGCCGCUCGGGCGCUGACGUCACCGCAGUCUGUGUGCAGUCUCCUCAUCACUAGAAACUAGAGCCCUGGCACAAAACGCAGGCGCUUUCACUUCUCUGUCUGUGAAAUGUGCAGCUUUACAGCCUUUAAGGUCUGUUCACUGUACCACACACAUUACACAGAAACCCACACCCGCCCAAAGAACCGCUUUAGACCCUAACUUCUAUUUUAGGUUUUCAUAAGCACAUUUUACAGCUUGUGUCUGACUCAAUACAUCAUUUUGUCACCAACAGCUCAUUAAAGCAGACGCGAAGAUUUGACAGCUCCUCACAUGAAUUAGGUUCUUCCUUGUGUUUCACUUCACAGGUUCAUCCACAGCUCACAACCUAAAAAUCAUCUAUAGCAUUAAAAUAAGUCCAUGUACUUUACUCUGAUAUUGAAUAAAUGAUAUGGAAUGAGGUUUUUGACUAUAUUGUGGUGGAGGUUCAACUUACAGUUAAUUCUUAUUAUUAAUCCAGAAAAAUUCUAUGCUUGAUUAUUGUGUGAUUUAACAUGUCAUUGCCCUGAUUAACAGUCUGGGAGGUGUUUCCCCACUAAUGCUCUCGGUGGUUCUUGGCCCGACGCAG